UACGUAGGGUGCGAGCGUUGUCCGGAAUUAUUGGGCGUAAAGGGCUCGUAGGCGGUUUGUCACGUCGGGAGUGAAAACUCGGGGCUCAACCCCGAGCCUGCUUCCGAUACGGGCAGACUAGAGGUAUGCAGGGGAGAAUGGAAUUCCUGGUGUAGCGGUGAAAUGCGCAGAUAUCGGGAGGAACACCGGUGGCGAAGGCGGUUCUCUGGGCCUUACCUGACGCUGAGGAGCGAAAGCGUGGGGAGCGAACAGG
rnacentral:rRNA from 1 species